rnacentral:rRNA from 1 species
CGAACGCUGGCGGCGUGCCUAACACAUGCAAGUCGAGCGGAGUUUAAGUUUUCGGAUUUAAACUUAGCGGCGGACGGGUGAGUAACACGUGGGUAACCUGCCUUAUAGAGGGGGAUAGCCUUCCGAAAGGAAGAUUAAUACCGCAUAACAUAUUUUUUAGGCAUCUAGGAAAUAUCAAAGGAGCAAUCCGCUAUAAGAUGGGCCCGCGGCGCAUUAGCUAGUUGGAGGGGUAACGGCCCACCAAGGCGACGAUGCGUAGCCGACCUGAGAGGGUGAUCGGCCACAUUGGAACUGAGACACGGUCCAGACUCCUACGGGAGGCAGCAGUGGGGAAUAUUGCACAAUGGAGGAAACUCUGAUGCAGCAACGCCGCGUGAGUGAUGAAGGUCUUCGGAUCGUAAAGCUCUUUGAUUGGGGACGAUAAUG